AUGAACGCUGGCGGCGUGCCUAAUACAUGCAAGUCGAGCGAACAGAUGAGGAGCUUGCUCCUCUGACGUUAGCGGCGGACGGGUGAGUAACACGUGGAUAACCUACCUAUAAGACUGGGAUAACUUCGGGAAACCGGAGCUAAUACCGGAUAAUAUAUUGAACCGCAUGGUUCAAUAGUGAAAGACGGUUUUGCUGUCACUUAUAGAUGGAUCCGCGCCGCAUUAGCUAGUUGGUAAGGUAACGGCUUACCAAGGCGACGAUGCGUAGCCGACCUGAGAGGGGGAUCGGCCACACUGGAACUGAGACACGGUCCAGACUCCUACGGGAGGCAGCAGUAGGGAAUCUUCCGCAAUGGGCGGAAGCCUGACGGAGCAACGCCGCGUGAGUGAAGAAGGUCUUCGGAUCGUAAAACUCUGUUAUUAGGGAAGAACAAAUGUGUAAGUAACUAUGCACGUCUUGACGGUACCUAAUCAGAAAGCCACGGCUAACUACGUG
rnacentral:rRNA from 1 species